UCGAGAAUCUUCCGCAAUGGGCGAAAGCCUGACGGAGCGACGCCGCGUGGUGGAUGAAGUACUUCGGUACGUAAACACCUUUUAUGAGGGAGGAAGUUUAUUGACGUUACCUCAUGAAUAAGGGGCUCCCAACUCUGUGCCAGCAGGAGCGGUAAUACAGAGGCCCCAAGCAUUAUCCGGAUUUACUGGGCGUAAAGGGUGCGUAGGCGGUGUGAUUAGUCAGUUGUUAAAUCCCGGGGCUCAACCCCGGAACCGCAAUUGAAACGGUCACACUAGAAUUGAUCAGAGGCAAGCAGAACUCUCGGUGUAGGGGUGAAAUCCGUUGAUAUCGAGGGGAAUACCAAAUGCGAAGGCAGCUUGCUGGGAUUAUAUUGACGCUGAGGCACGAAAGCGUGGGGAU
rnacentral:rRNA from 1 species